UGGGCCGUAACUGACGCUGAGGAGCGAAAGGGUGGGGAGCAAACAGGCUUAGAUACCCUGGUAGUCCACCCCGUAAACGUUGGGAACUAGUUGUGGGGACCAUUCCACGGUUUCCGUGACGCAGCUAACGCAUUAAGUUCCCCGCCUGGGGAGUACGGCCGCAAGGCUAAAACUCAAAGGAAUUGACGGGGACCCGCACAAGCGGCGGAGCAUGCGGAUUAAUUCGAUGCAACGCGAAGAACCUUACCAAGGCUUGACAUACACCAGAACACCGUAGAAAUACGGGACUCUUUGGACACUGGUGAACAGGUGGUGCAUGGUUGUCGUCAGCUCGUGUCGUGAGAUGUUGGGUUAAGUCCCGCAACGAGCGCAACCCUCGUUUUAUGUUGCCAGCACGUAAUGGUGGGAACUCAUGGGAUACUGCCGGGGUCAACUCGGAGGAAGGUGGGGAUGACGUCAAAUCAUCAUGCCCCUUAUGUCUUGGGCUUCACGCAUGCUACAAUGGCCGGUACAAAGGGCUGCAAUACCGUGAGGUGGAGCGAAUCCCAAAAAGCCGGUCCCAGUUCGGAUUGAGGUCUGCAACUCGACCUCAUGAAGUCGGAGUCGCUAGUAAUCGCAGAUCAGCAACGCUGCGGUGAAUACGUUCCCGGGUCUUGUACACACCGCCCGUCAAGUCAUGAAAGUCGGUAACACCUGAAGCCG
rnacentral:rRNA from 1 species